ACGGAAGGCAGCAGUGGGGAAUAUUGGGCAAUGGGCGAAAGCCUGACCCAGCGACGCCGCGUGAAGGAAGACGGUCCUCGGAUUGUAAACUUCUUUUAUAAGGGACGAUAAUGACGGUACCUUAUGAAUAAGCCACGGCUAACUACGUGCCAGCAGCCGCGGUAAUACGUAGGUGGCGAGCGUUAUCCGGAUUUACUGGGUGUAAAGGGUGUGUAGGCGGGAUUGCAAGUCAGAUGUGAAAAUUAUGGGCUUAACUCAUAACCUGCAUUUGAAACUGUGAUUCUUGAGGGUCGGAGAGGUAACUGGAAUUCCUGGUGUAGCGGUGAAAUGCGUAGAUAUCAGGAGGAACACCGGUGGCGAAGGCGGGUUACUGGACGAUUACUGACGCUGAGACACGAAAGCGCGGGGAGCAAACAGGAUUAGAUACCCUGGUA
rnacentral:rRNA from 1 species